rnacentral:rRNA from 1 species
GACGAACGCUGGCGGCGUGCCUAAUACAUGCAAGUUGAGCGAUGAAGAUUGGUGCUUGCGCCAAUUUGAAGAGCAGCGAACGGGUGAGUAACGCGUGGGGAAUCUGCCUUUGAGCGGGGGACAACAUUUGGAAACGAAUGCUAAUACCGCAUAACAACUUUAAACAUAAGUUUUAAGUUUGAAAGAUGCAAUUGCAUCACUCAAAGAUGAUCCCGCGUUGUAUUAGCUAGUUGGUGAGGUAAAGGCUCACCAAGGCGAUGAUACAUAGCCGACCUGAGAGGGUGAUCGGCCACAUUGGGACUGAGACACGGCCCAAACUCCUACGGGAGGCAGCAGUAGGGAAUCUUCGGCAAUGGACGAAAGUCUGGCCGAGCAACGCCGCGUGAGUGAAGAAGGUUUUCGGAUCGUAAAACUCUGUUGGUAGAGAAGAACGUUGGUGAGAGUGGAAAGCUCAUCAAGUGACGGUAACUAACCAGAAAGGGACGGCUAACUACGU